GCGGUUGUGGCGAAGUGGUUAACGCACCGGACUGUGAAUCCGGCACUCGUGGGUUCAAUUCCCAUCAGCCGCCCCA
rnacentral:tRNA from 1 species